ACACCUCAACUCUCAUGGCUUGCCGUGACGAGCUUGGACUCUGGGGGUCUUGCUGGCCACGUACGUGGUUGGCUCCUCUCAAAUGAAUCAGCUUGCCAGUGUUUGGUGGCGUCACAGGUGUGAUAACUGUCUACGCUUGUGGUUCGUCUGCCAGGUGACCUUCAGCAAUGGAGGUUUGCUGGAGCUUACAAAUGUCUCUCCUCGGCGAAGACAGCUUUUUGAAC
rnacentral:misc_RNA from 1 species